UUCUGGUUGAUCCUGCCGAAGGCUACUGCUAUUGGAGUUCGAUUAAGCCAUGCGAGUCUAAGGGAUCUUCGGAUCCCUGGCGUAAUGCUCAGUAACACGUGGAUAAUCUACCCUCAGGUGGGGCAUAAACCCGGGAAACUGGGGCCAAUUCCCCAUAAAUACAGAUGGCUGGAAUGCUUCUGUAUUCAAAGCUCCGGCGCCUGAGGAUGAGUCUGCGGCCUAUCAGGUUGUAGUCAGGGUCAAGACCUGACUAGCCAGCGACGGGUAUGGGGUGUGAGAGCACUUGCCCAGAGAUGGUUUCUGAGACACGAAACCAGGCCCUACGGGGCGCAGCAGGCGCGAAAACUUCGCAAUGCGGGAAACCGUGACGAGGGAACUCCGAGUGUCUAUGCAUUGCAUAGACUGUUUUUUAGCCUAAAUAGCUAUUAGAGUAAGGGGUGGGCAAGACCGGUGCCAGCCGCCGCGGUAACACCGGCACCCCGAGUGGUAGCCACUAUUAUUGGGCCUAAAGCGUUCGUAGCCGGUUUGGUAAAUUCUUGGGUAAAUCGUACCGCUCAACGGUGCGGAUUCCGGGGACACUACCAGACUUGAGACCGGGGGAGAUCAGAGGUACUUGCGGGGGAGCGGUGAAAUGUUGUAAUCCCGCAGGGACCACCAGUGGCGAAGGCGUCUGAUCAGAACGGCUCUGACGGUGAGGAACGAAACCCUGGGGCGCAAACGGGAUUAGAUACCCCGGUAGUCCAGGGCGUAAACGCUGCUGACUUGG
rnacentral:rRNA from 1 species